GUGCUAGUUUCAGCAGCACAUAUACUAAAAUUGGAAUGAUGCAGAGAAGAUUAGCAUGUCCCCUGCAUAAGGAUGACAUGCAAAUUCAUGAAGUGUUCCAUAUUUUA
ensembl:snRNA RNU6-664P RNA, U6 small nuclear 664, pseudogene